rnacentral:rRNA from 1 species
GACGAACGCUGGCGGCGUGCUUAACACAUGCAAGUCGAACGCUGAACCCGCUUCGGUGGGGGGUGAGUGGCGAACGGGUGAGUAACACGUGGGCAACCUGCCCCCGGCUCUGGGAUAACUCCAAGAAAUUGGGGCUAAUACCGGAUGUGACCGCUGGCCGCAUGGUCUGGUGGUGGAAAGGGUUUCCGGCUGGGGAUGGGCCCGCGGCCUAUCAGCUUGUUGGUGGGGUAGUGGCCUACCAAGGCGACGACGGGUAGCCGGCCUGAGAGGGUGACCGGCCACACUGGGACUGAGACACGGCCCAGACUCCUACGGGAGGCAGCAGUGGGGAAUAUUGCGCAAUGGGCGGAAGCCUGACGCAGCGACGCCGCGUGGGGGAUGACGGCCUUCGGGUUGUAAACCUCUUUCAGCAGGGACGAAGCGCAAGUGACGGUACCUGCAGAAGAAGCACCGGCCAACUACGUG